AAAAAAAAAAAAAAAAAAAAAAAAAAGUGCAGCUGAGUGAUGUCAGGCUGUGGGGUGGUAUUAGGUGGGGUGAGUGCCCUGGCUGAUUUUGAGAAGUUGUACCCCCAUCUGUAGGGCAUUUCAUUGUGCUAUGUUAGAGCACCAUUGACGGGAACACUGAAAGUGCCCACCUGGACCAGGCGCAUACUAGCUGCUUGCAUGUGUUGUCUCACAGCAGGAGGCCCUGAGAAUCAACAUGUGCUGCCCUGAAGACUAACCAGGAGGAUUUGGGAGGGGCCGCUAGAAGGAAGGAGAUGACCAGCCUCCCAGGAUCCUUGGUGCCGGAGUCCAUCUUGGCUGAGAGGGAAAAACUCAGCCUCCAAGAUCGUCACUGAGUUCCAAAGGAGCUAAACCCCCAACAAAUGGAAAACUGGAGAGGAGGACCACCAGCACCAGUCCUGGGGCUGCCGAACACCAACUUUGAAGAAGAAUGCAAGCUUGCAUCUACCCUGAUCCUUACCUGUGGCCCUAUUUUCUACUGCCACACUGUGUAAAAUCCCUUCCUGAUCUCUCCCAAGGUGGGGCACAGUCUUUAGGGCAUUAGCCUGCUGUGGCCUCCUUUGCUUGGCAAAGCAAUAAAGCUAUUUUUUUUCUCUUUCAC
rnacentral:lncRNA from 1 species